UACGGAGGGUGCAAGCAUUGAUCGGAAUUACUGGGCGUAAAGGGCUCGUAGGCGGCCAACUAAGUCAGAUGUGAAAUCCCCGGGCUCAACCCGGGAACUGCGUCCGAUACUGGAAGGCUUGAAUCCGGGAGAGGGAUGCGGAAUUCCAGGUGUAGCGGUGAAAUGCGUAGAUAUCUGGAGGAACACCGGUGGCGAAGGCGGCAUCCUGGACCGGCAUUGACGCUGAGGCGCGAAAGCCAGGGGAGCAAACGGG
rnacentral:rRNA from 1 species